rnacentral:rRNA from 1 species
GUCUAUGGCUAUACCUCCCUGAACGCUCCCGAUCUCGUCUGAUCUCGGAAGCUAAGCAGGGUCGGGCCUGGUUAGUACUUGGAUGGGAAAGUGUCAUAGCCU